ensembl:lncRNA
AUAAGAAAAUCCUUUCCAAGAAAUGUGCAUUCUGACUCAUGCCUUAGAAAGGAAUGGUCUGGCUGGGUGCAGUGGCUCACGCCUGUAAUCCCAGCACUUUGGGAGGCUGAGGUGGGCAGAUCACUUGAGGUCAGGAGUUAGAGACCAGCCUGGCCAACAUAGUGAAACCCCGUGUCUACUAAAAAUACAAAAAAAAAUAUUAGCUGGGUGUGGUGGCAGGUGCCUGUGAUCCUAGCUACUGUGGAGACUGAGGCAGGAGAAUCCCUUGAACCUGGGAGUCAGAGGUUGCAGUGAGCCAAGAUCCCGCCAUUGCUCUCCAGCCUGGGUGACUGAGUGAGACUGUCUCAAAAAGAUAAGAAAAGAAAAAAGAAAGGGGAGGGAGGGAGGGAAGGGAGGGAAAGGAGGAGACCCUUGGGAACUGGGAAGUGUAGCUGAUGAUGAAAUAUUUUUUUUCUUUGAGAAAUGCAGGCCUGGCUCCAAUCAGCUAAUUUUUCAGACCUUUGAUCCAUUGAUCCUUUGGGCAGUCUGGGCUUGCUUGGUUCAGUGAGAGGCAGCAGAGGACGAGAGAAAUUGCGCAGGGCUGAGAGCUGUGAAGUCACUGGGUGAGUCCCUUCCCCUUGCCAGGCCUCAGUUUCCCAGUCUGUAAAAUAAGAGGACUGGAGGGACUGACUCUAGGGCCGACUCUGACCUUUUCUCUCCAAGCGUAGGUGAGCGGUGUGACCACACCAGGCCAAGGAAGAAGCACGUGCCCAGCCUGCCAUCUGCCCUCCUGUCCUGGAGCCAGCUCUUUCCACCAGCUUCCUUCGUCUUUUAACACUUGGUGAAAAGGAAUGACACGUCAGUCACAGCCACUGGCCAGUGCUCACGGAGCAUCUGGCAGGAGGAAGCGCCUUCCUGGCUGGCCUCCCAUUCAUCAGUCAGAGCCGCAGGCUGGGCCAGGAAGCUGCAUUUGUUGGCCAGGAUUUGAGAUUUCUUUCACUGAGGCCUCCGGAGAGUCAUUCCAAAGGUGAACAUGGAGCACAAACUCAAGAAGUGAAACCACAUGUACUGCCUCAAAAGCAACAAGGCAGGAGGGUGUCGAAAACCCCGGGGGGGAGAUACAAAGGCUCAAAGUUCUGCAACCCGCACCCCUUGGAAAGAGGGUUGGUCAGCUCCUCUCCCAACCCAAACUCCCAGUUUGAAUUUUUAAAACAUCAGCCUUCUAAGCAAGCAUCUGCCACUGUCCGGCUUCUGAAUGAAAGGUGAAGAUCAGAGAAAGGAAUCUUUGUGUUUUCAUCAGGUAUUUUAGCAAAUGCAAUGAGGACAUUCAGAUUUGAUUUCCCUGUUUUGUACACACACAUAAGUCGGUGCUAAGAGGAUUAGUUUUCCUGCAGCCACGUCCUUCCUAAAGGCCCCGGUCAAAAGAGACCCUUGUUCAACAGCGUUCUCUCUGAUUCCUCUGGCUUUUCUUCCUUACCUCAAUGUGCACACAUCUAGCUUGCUCCUAAAUCCACCCACCUCGCAGACUUUGGGAUAACGAAGAUCCCAGCCCUCCAUUCUCCUCCCGCCCCGGUUCCUUAAUAAAGCUGGAGAUGAACAUUAGCGCUUGGUUCAGCAGCAUCCGAAAAGGAAAGGGUGGCCUCCUCGAGCCCUCGACGCCCCAUAGAAAAAUGUAGCCU